rnacentral:rRNA from 1 species
AUUGAACGCUGGCGGCAGGCCUAACACAUGCAAGUCGAGCGAGCGGCGGACGGGUGAGUAAUGUCUGGGAAACUGCCUGCUGGAGGGGGAUAACUACUUGAAACGGUAGCUAAUACCGCAUACCCUCAGAUGUGCCCAGAUGGGAUUAGCUAGUGGGGGGGGUAACGGCUCACCUAGGCGACGAUCCCUAGCUGGUCUGCGAGGAUGACCAGCCACACGGGAACUGAGACACGGUCCAGACUCCUACGGGAGGCAUCAGAGGGGAAUAUUGCACAAUGGGCGCAAGCCGGAUGCAGCCAUGCCGCGUGGGUGAAGAAGGCCUUCGGGUUGUAAAGCACUUUCAGCGGGGAGGCGUUACCCGCAGAAGAAGCACCGGCUAACUCCGUGCCAGCAGCCGCGGUAAUUC